AUUUGCAUUAUGUUUUAGUUGGCAUGAGAAUUUUUCAAAGUUUUUUAAGGGCUUCUUGGUUUUGCCAUUAAUCUUACAAAAACCCUUGAGCAUCGAUGGGUUUCUGCACAUUUUGUGGAAAGCAUUACACAUCAGUGAGCUCAAAAUGUGCAAACUACAUUUCAACUUGCUAUCUUCUUCUAAUUUAAACGUAGAGUUUCUGUUCCGACACGGCUGAAAUUCCCGUAGCAAGUCUUGUUUAACGAUUACGAAGGGAAUUAUACUGUAUUUCCUGAGGAACUAGAGGGAAAGUAGAUAGUAUUUGCAAAGAAGAAAUCGUCAAGAGGUUAUUAGUUCCUCAUAAACAUAUAAUUAACUCGAUGUUUAUUCAAAGUGAGGUUGUGGCAAUAACUUCUAUCUACUUCGACGAUUCCCUGCAAAUGAAAGCUGCAGUUUGGGCAAGAAAGGCCUAAGUUAAUUUUCGAUUAAAAAGUCGUUCCACUCUCUUUUGUGAAAGAACAAUAAGUCUCUACUCGCCAUUGUCACAGCACUUAGAUCGGUGUUGUGAUUUUAGUGUUUUAUCUCGUCAACUGGGCAAUUAAUUUGUGUUUUGUUCCAGAGCUGUUGUUUAACAAAAUUCCUUUGUGGAAGUGUACUGAGACCUUAUUGAAAGCGCAAGUGAAGGUUCUUCGUUCAUGAUUUUUGAUGCACGCAAACGAUUUAGUGCGUCUCAGGGAAGGGGACAUUUUUAAUAGUUGUAAGUUUCUUUUGUGUAUGUGGAAUCCUUUGAUGUCGAAGGUUGGGGGACAAAAGGUCACGGGAAUGCUUACGUUGAUAGCGGUAUACAUCCAUCAAUAUUGGAUAUCCAUAAUCAAAAUUGACCCUAAAAAGGAAAAUUGGCUGGAGGUGAAAAUUGUUGUUCCAAUUGCAUAGCGUCCAGCAUCAUAAACAGUUUCGUGUGAAGUAUUUCUGAAGUUCCUCUUUGGAAUUUUUCGGGAAAUUACUCUCUUUCGCAAACAAUAGGAAUCGCAGAAUGUUGUUUUGAGUUUGUCGUAUUUGACAGAUUGCAAGCAUUUGCUCCGUACGUGACCUCGAUUUGCCGACAAGCAGACUCCAUUGUGGGAUCAAAGGCUUUUGAUUGUUGAAACACUUUUUUUUUUGUCGAGGUGAUCUGUAAACCUAAACGCGGACGUAUUUUUCCUUCGCUGGCUCAAAUUACAAAUGCUACGUACGGCUGGUCAGAAGUUCGCCUUUUAGUGAAAAAUCGUCGAGAUUGGCGGAUGUGAAUUACAGCGAUAGGGACCGUACUUAUGACCGCCACGUUGAUUAAAAGUUUAAACCUUAUUUUUCUUUUCAUGCUCAUCAUGAGGGCAAGAUUGCCCUUUGUCAAAAAUAUACUUUGUUUACUUAUGUUUGUGCAGGUUUACUAAACGGAUUGUUUUUCCAACUUGUUCUCCAUAGUCUUGAUGAAUUCCACACUUGAAUGCUUGCGCUGAUAUCUUACCUCUUCCGAUUUCUUCCAUCUUUUUUUUUUUUUAAUCUGGAGUGCAAUUCGUUUGCAUUUAAAAUUUUCAAACUUACCUCGAGUUUUUUAUUUUUAUUUUUUUUAUCUGCUGAUAAGCUCAGAGGAGAUGCUAUCCUGCAGGGAGAGACUAUCAUCACCCCAAGUCGGACAGUUGUUACAUUGACUCACUUCAACCAGUGAACUUUGUUCUUCUUCAAAUGCACCUCAUAUUUUAGGUUGUAUUUUCAGAAGUGUCCCUGUCUCUAAAAGUUCAGCUGGGUUGAAUUACAUCUUUCAACCCUAAAGAAGAUUGGGAAUGUUUUCUUCGAUUGUUCAAAUCAAAGAGAACACUAAACUUUGGGCUGUAAUUAUACAACACUUGCAGGUUAAUUCAUUCAUUCUAUGGGACAUAAUAAAUUGGCAUUGACUGCAUCUGGUUAAAUAAAAGGAGGGAUGUUAUAAGGUUUUCUUGUUAACCACAGAACAGACAGGUAACUGCAGCAAAUUGAGUCUGACUAGUUCUCCAAAAAGUUUUCUGUUUUGAAAUUGAGUGAAUUGGUAUUCUCUGUUUGAUGUCAAUGUUCUGUUGUGGAUGUAUUCCUGUAACUUUUAUCAAAUUGCAUCAUUAAAUGAGCCAUUGUCAAACAUUAUUGGGUUUCAUAGUAAGGUUGUUUUCUAUUUUUCCUAAAACAUGCCAGAAAUAGUGAUAGCUUUUGCCCCUAAUAAUUUGUGGUUCAUGUUUCAAAGUAUUCUGAAUGUGUCUUCAAAAUGUAUUUCAAGUAACAAGUAUUCUAUUCAGAAGACCAGAAAUUAUUGUAAAUAUAAGUAUCCACUGUACUGGUGAGCUUUUCUCAGCAAAAAGAAUAUUUUGAAUUUUAAGUAACUGUGAUGGCUGUAAUUAUUCAAUAAACAGCAGAUGAUGGUAA